GAUGAACGCUGGCGGCGUGCCUAAUACAUGCAAGUCGAGCGAACAGAUGAGGAGCUUUUUCCUUUGACGGUAGCGGCGGACGGGUGAGUAACACGUGGAUAACCUACGUCUAUGACGUGGAUAACUUCGGGAAACCGCAUCUAAUACUGCACAAUACAUUGAACGGGAUUAUUCAAUAGUUAAUCACGGCUUUGCCGUCACUUAUAGACGGAUCCGCGUCGCAUUUGUUAGUUGGUAAGGUAACGGCUUAGCAAGGCUACGAUGCGUAGCCGACCGGAGAGGAUGAUCAGCCACACUGGAACUGAGACACGGUCCAGACUCCUACGGGAGGCAGCAGUAGGGAAUCUUCGACAAUGGGCGAAAGCUUGACGGAGCAACGCCGCGUGAGUGAGGAAGGUCUUCGGGUCGUAAAACCCUUUUAUUGGGGAAGAACAUCGGUGGAGGUAACUACGCACGUCUUGACGGUACCGAACCAGAAAGCCCCGGCUAACUUCGUG
rnacentral:rRNA from 1 species